AGAGUUUGAUCAUGGCUCAGGACGAACGCUGGCGGCGUGCUUAACACAUGCAAGUCGAACGCUGAAGCUCAGCUUGCUGGGUGGAUGAGUGGCGAACGGGUGAGUAACACGUGAGUAACCUGCCCCCUUCUUUGGGAUAACGCCCGGAAACGGGUGCUAGUACUGGAUAUUCACUGAUCUUCGCAUGGGGGUUGGUGGAAAGGUUUUUCUGGUGGGGGAUGGGCUCGCGGCCUAUCAGCUUGUUGGUGGGGUGAUGGCCUACCAAGGCCUUGACGGGUAGCCGGCCUGAGAGGGUGACCGGUCACAUUGGGACUGAGAUACGGCCCAGACUCCUACGGGAGGCAGCA
rnacentral:rRNA from 1 species